AAUAUAAUUACCUAAUGGAUUAACUGAGAAUAAUAGCCGCGAUAUGAUGGAUGAUUUAUAAGAAUUAAUAAAGACUCAUGGCAAUUUAUCAUGUAUCUAAAUUUGCACACAACGAAAGGUUCGAAUUUCCCGCGCGAUCUUUUGAUCGAUCGAGUCACAAGUUGCCAACUAUAUCGUUGGUAUAACUGUUGACAUUCAACGACAUUAGCGUGCAGUUAUACGUCCGUACGUGUUGGUUAACAGUCGAUAGCUUACGCAGAAGUAUAUCGAAAUAACACGUUAUGAGAAAGAACAACUCAGAGAUAACGGGACACCUUACAAAUAUAUGAACGAACGAGUUACCUCCUCUUUACUCCCCGAUCGCCGGACCGUCCAAC